AUGCUCAUCUGUUGCUGUCCUCUGACCCAUCUCCCAGAUGACUCACUGACUGAAGCUUUUCCUUCCUCCUGCAGUAUGCUAAGGCAAAGCCACGCUUGGCAGGGAACUCUUGUCAAAAGACUUAACAAGCUUCACACUGAAUUACCAAAGGCAACUUCUUUGUUUAUGAUCUUUCCUUCAAGGAAAUCAACACGCA
rnacentral:lncRNA from 1 species